rnacentral:tRNA from 4 species
GCCGAUGUAGCUCAGCUGGUAGAGCAGACCCUUCGUAAGGGUAAGGUCAGCGGUUCGAUUCCGCUCAUCGGCU